rnacentral:lncRNA from 1 species
CAUUGAAUUUAAAACGUGGAAAGUUAUAUGAGGAUAUGGUUUGCAGUGUUGUAUAGCUCAAUGCUUUCAAAAUGGCGAUCUGUGGAGGUAUAUAGAUGUCGAUGGAUAGUGUCGAGGUCAACGGGCCGAGGACGGAUGACAGACAGUGGAUGUGAGGUUAAGAAUAUAGAGCAUGAUGACAAAGCUAUGUUAAAGUGUUUAAUUAAAAACUUGUCUUCAUCUAUGUAAAAUAACCACGAUCCACACAACAAAACAUAACAUGGCGCAGUCGUGAGUUUGUUUAUGUGUUAAUAACAACAUAGAUAAGAACCUACAAGAAUGGGUGGCAACAGGGGUGUACCAACAAUGCGAACGACGGACAAUGUGGCUGAGAACUGGAACUAGAGACAAGAAAUAAUCCCUUAUUAUUAUAUUAGUUAUCCCUUGUCUCUGUCUGGAACAUUUGGCGGUGCAUGUUCGAAAAUUAUUUGGGGACUUAAGGACUGUAAGCUGGGAAACCUUCAGGAUGAAUUAACCACAACAGUAUUGAUUUGUGGAAUAAAUCACACAAAUUAGAGAAAAACUGCUACAAGAAGAAGAUGGUGUUUCUUUAGAGAAAAUCAUUGCAAAAUGCAAACUCUGUGAAAAGACAAAGGAAAGGAGCGAAAGUAUGGAGAAUUGUUUGUCUGUAGGAGCAGUACAUCGAGAAAGCAAGCAAAAAUUUAAAGAAAAAGAACGUAACAAUUGCCCAGCAUUCGGAAAGGAAUGUGAUUUUUGCCAUAUCAAAAAUCACUUUGAAAGCAAAUGUUUAAAGAAGAAAUACAAGAGAGAUGUACAGGAAAUCACGGAGGAAAUGGGAGAAAUAAGGGAAGAACAAGUAAGUCAGUCAACAUUUAUAGGAUCUGUCGAGGGAAUAGAAGUCAUAAAUAUGGUAGUUAAUAACACUAUUCAUAAAUUCAAAAUUGAUACGGGAGCAAUGGCUAACGUCAUAUCACGUUUUUCGUUGAAAAGUUUGGGUCUAAAUACUAAAAAAAUUAAACAAACAAAAACGAAAUUAAAGUCAUAUACGGGAAACGCAUUAAACGUGAUAGGGACAUACAAAAUAAAAUGUUUAAAAACAGAUAUUUUUAUGACAUAGGCUUCUUUGUUGUAGAAAGUAAUACACCCGCAAUUUUAGGACUUAAUACUUGUAUCGCACUUGAUGUAAUCAAAAGAAUAGAUAGUGUAUGUAACCUGUGGUGUAACUGUAAAUCAACAACUGCAAAGAUUUGUUAAAUUAUUUUGGGGACUUAUUCAAAUAGGGCGCAUAAAAGAAACAUGCAGUAUAAAGUUAGAGUCAAAUAGCAAACCAUCAAUAAAAUAGCAUUCUCAUUAAUGAAACCUUUGAGGGGCAGUCUAGAUGAAUUAGAGCGGGCAAAGAUAAUAGAAAAAGUUGGAAGACCAUCUGAUUGGAUGAAUGCGCUGGUACUAGUGAGAAAACCAAACCGUACAAUAAGGAUUUGUUUGGAUCCCAAAGACCUAAACCAAGUAAUUAAGAGAGAAUUCUGUAGAAUACCCACAUUUGAGGAGUUAUCGAGUAAUAUGACAGGCGCCACAGUUUUUAGUACGUUCGAUGUCACAAACGGGUUUUAUUAAAUACAUAUAUAGAUAGAUAUUAGAUACAGAUAGCAGUAAUUUGUGCACUUUUGGAACACCAUAUGGUCGAUAUAAAUUUCUUCGCCUUCCGUAUGGUAUCAAAAGUGCUCCCGAAAUAUUUCAGGACAGAUUUGAAAACAUUUUUCGUGACAUCGACGGUACUGACGUUUACGAUGACAUUAUUGUGUGGGGGACGGAACAAGACAGAACACGACCAACGACUAAGACGAGUCUUAGAGAGAGCAAAGCUAAAUAAUCAAAUUCAAUUUAGGUUAAUGUCGUUUUGGACAGUCAGAGAUUAAAUGUAUGAGCCACAUUAUAACAAAUAAAGGAAUUGCACCAGAUUCUUCAAAAAUUAGCGCUAUUUCUCAACUACCACGACCAUCAAAUAAGCAAGACAUUCAAAUAAUGUUAGGUAUGCUAACAUGUAAGUAAAUUCAUCAAAAACUUUUCAGAUCAAACGCAACCACUAAGAGAACUCCUAAAAAGGGAUAUGGAGUUUAUUUGGAGCGAUGUACAUGAGAAGGCGUUUCAAAACUUAAACAAAAUAUUAAUAAAUACACCCGUAUUGAAAUUUUUUGACCCAGAUAAAAAAAUUGUAAUUUCAGUUGAUGCUUCAAAGUCGGGAGUGGGAGCUUAUUGCAAAACAAUCUGCCAUGUGCAUAUGCCUCAAAAGCUUUAAGAGAAACACAAACAAGAUACGCACAAAUUGAAAAAGAACUUUACGCAAUAUACUUUGGUUUAAACAAGUUUUAUCAAUAUGCGUAUGGGCAAAGGGUUACCGUGGCGACGGAUGAUCAGCUUUUAAUAUCAAUUUUCAAAAAACCUCUAAAUAAACGUCGAGCGAGACUUCAGUGAAUGAUGCUGCAAUUUCAAAAAUUUGAUAUAGAAUUAAGGUUUAAGCCGGGGAAAGAUUUAAUAUUAGCGGAUGCUCUCUCUCGGGCAUAUGUAAUUCAUAAUGAAGAAGACGACUUUGAUAAGGACAUUGAGAGUCAAAUAUGUUUAGUAAGAAUGGAAUUAAAUGCCAGAUGAUAAAAUAAACUAAGAUUUUCAAUAUCGCACAGAAAACGACCCAUCUUAAACGACUAAAAAAUGUAAUUCUAAACUGUUGGCCUAAUUCGUCGAAAAAACUAAAUGAUAACUUAAAACUAUUUGCACCGUAUAAAUCUGACUUCACAAUUGCUGACGGAUUGAUUUUUAAAGAUAAAUGCUUGGUAGUGCCUAAAGCGCUACAGCAAGAAAUGCUAAAUAGAAUACAUUAUAGUCAUUUAGGGAUUAACAAAUGUACUAAAUUGGCACAACAAUCAUUAUUUUGGCCGGGUAUGACUGAGCAUAUUAAAAACAAAAUAUCUCUAUGCAAUCAAUGUUUUACUUAUGCAAACUCUCAAAUUACAGAGCCUAUUAUAACUCAUGACAUUCCUUCAUUACCAUAGAAUAAAAUUUCAUGUGACAUUUUUGAACUGUGCGGUCGGAAAUAUCUCCUAAUGGUUGAUUAUUAUGUGUAUAUUGAAUGUGUGGACACAAAUAAUAAUACAAUCAGUCAUUGAAAUUUUAAAAUCAGGUUUUUCCCGUCAUGGGAUACCAGUAACUUUGGUAACAAAAAAGACAUUCAAAUUUCACUUCUACAUUAUAGAUCCACCCCAGUCUUUGACAAUGUAUGCCCAGCUGAAUUGCUAAUGUCGAGAAAACUGAGAACUAACAUAAUAAUAACUAAAAAUGAGUCUAAAGCGAAAAUAUCAAAUUCAUAUAAUAAGAGCAUAAGUACAAAAAGACAGUUACACCAAGGGAAAUAUUAUAAUAGAGGGAAAAGAGCAUUGUUAGAUUUAAAUGUAGGCGAAAAAAUAUAUGUUCAAAGGACACCUAAUGGCGACUGGCUUCCUAGUAUUGUUCUAGAGAAAGUCAGAUACAGGGUUUAUAAAGUGCAAAUGAAUAAUGGUUCAAUACUAUUCAGAAAUCGCAAGUUUAUAAAAAAACUGAAUAUAAAACAAACUGACCGAGCCGGCAACCGUAUGAGAACCGUUACUCAUUGGCAGCAGGAAAGAAUGUAAAGAAUAAUGCUAUUGAUAAUAAGACUCGUAGAGACGAGGUCAAAUACUUUAUUGAGCUGGAUAUCGAACCGGAAAAGCGGGAAACUCAGAAUAAUGCAUAUUUGUGCAUGAAUAGUGGUAAUGAUAGCGAUGAGGGUGAACAAUAUCAAGAGUGUAUGAAUACAGCGAUAAAUGAUGAGGAUUUGAUGAUUCAGACGCGGAGAGGAAAAUUAUCGAGAAAACAACAAUCAUGACUUCGGGAAGGAUUUCCAAGCCACCUCCGGGUCUGAAUCAAUUUGUUUAAAAUAGCUAACGUAGGGUAAAGUAAAAUUAAGUAGAGUUCAGAGUUAUAUAUUAGUAUUAGGUGUAGGAAGGGGGAUGUAAGGAAGUAUAUAGAUGUGGAUGGAUGGUGUCGACCAUAGAUGAAGACAAGUGUCGACGUCAAAGGGCCGAGGACGGAACGCGUGGCUCAUCGCAGUAUGGCGCGGGGGUUAAUGAAUCAGGGCUGCGUUUCGUCCCGGGCCUACCUAUUGGACUCGUCAGUAAGGCUUAGGUAGGCCCUGCCUUAGACGCCGGAUACAAUGUGUAUAGGUUGCAAGCAUGAUACAAUGAAUACAAGGUAGGGUAUUAAUCGGUCGAAAACUCGAUUUUCGUGUGCACAUGACGUCACUGGUUAGCACUAUAACAGAUUUUCAUUGAAUUUAAAACGCAAUAGUUCAAAAGUGGAAAGUUAUAUGAUAAUAUGGUUUGCAGUGUUGUAUAGCAACAAUGAAUUCAUUGUAUCAUUCAAUGAAUUAUUGAAUCAUGGGGUGAAUGCGUUUGGGCGUGUUUUGGGAAUCUUGUAGACAAACAACUGAGCAUUUUGCGUUUAGUAGUUGGAAAGUUUGCUGUAGAACGUGUGCAAGCUAUGGGAGAAUGCUUGUCGUGCGGAUACGAAUAUGCUCUCAGCAUUUCAAAAAUAAUGAUUAUGACAGGAAUUUGCAAUUUGAACUUUUGGGGUACUUGCCAAACGGGCGGCUCAUCGCCUGUCAGGGAUCCAUCAUUUGGAUUCAACGACGCUAACACAAACUAACCUAAAAUUUUCAAUUUUGUUUUGUUUAUAGACGGGUUGUUUACAUACGCCUAGCGUUUAUGGCUAGUAUAUACGUUUUUAUUGGUUUUCCCUACGCCAUUACAUAUCCUUAUUAUCCUUAUUCAUUGAAUAAACGGGGCAAGCGAAGGAGUACCUCAGCGAUGAG